rnacentral:rRNA from 1 species
AUUUUGGACAAUGGGGGAAACCCUGAUCCAGCCAUCCCGCGUGUAUGAUGAAGGCCUUNGGGUUGNANAGUACUUUUGGCAGAGANGAAAAGGUAUCCCCUAAUACGGGAUACUGCUGACGGUAUCUGAAGAAUAAGCUCCGGCUAACUACGUUCCGGCAGCCGCGGUAAUACGUAGGGUGCAAGCGUUAAUCGGAAAUACUGGGCGGAAAGCGUGUGUAGGCGGUUCGGAAAGAAAGAUGUGAAAUACCAGGGCUCAACCUUGGAACUGCAUGUUUAACUUCCGAGCUAGAGUAUGUCAGAGGGGGGUAGAAUUCCACGUGUAGCAGUGAAAUGCGUAGAUAUGUGGAGGAAUACCGAUGGCGAAGGCAGCCCCCUGGGAUAAUACUGACGCUCAGACACGAAAGCGUGGGGAGCAAACAGG